GGGCCGUAGCUGGAGAGUCGGGGCACAUGCCAAAUUCUUAGAUCAGGAUUUCAGUAAUCUGGCAUGUGCCCUGCUUCUCCAGCUUCAAUCA
rnacentral:miRNA from 1 species